CACGUAGGGGGCGAGCGUUGUCCGGAUUUAUUGGGCGUAAAGAGCUCGUAGGCGGUUCGAUAAGUCGGGUGUGAAAACUCUGGGCUCAACUCAGAGACGCCACCCGAUACUGUUGUGACUUGAGUCCGGUAGGGGAGUAUGGAAUUCCCGGUGUAGCGGUGAAAUGCGCAGAUAUCGGGAGGAACACCAGUGGCGAAGGCGGUACUCUGGGCCGGAACUGACGCUGAGGUGCGAAAGCGUGGGGAGCAAACAGG
rnacentral:rRNA from 1 species